UUCCAGGUGUAGCGGGUGAAAUGCGUAGAGAUCUGGAGGAAUACCGGUGGCGAAGGCGGCCCCUGGACGAAGACUGACGCUCAGGUGCGAAAGCGUGGGGAGCAAACAGGAUUAGAUACCUGGUAGUCCACGCCGUAAACGAUGUCGACUUGGAGGUUGUGCCCUUGAGGCGUGGCUUCCGGAGCUAACGCGUUAAGUCGACCGCCUGGGGAGUACGGCCGCAAGGUUAAAACUCAAAUGAAUUGACGGGGGCCCGCACAAGCGGUGGAGCAUGUGGUUUAAUUCGAUGCAACGCGAAGAACCUUACCUGGUCUUGACAUCCACGGAAGUUUUCAGAGAUGAGAAUGUGCCUUCGGGAACCGUGAGACAGGUGCUGCAUGGCUGUCGUCAGCUCGUGUUGUGAAAUGUUGGGUUAAGUCCCGCAACGAGCGCAACCCUUAUCCUUUGUUGCCAGCGGUCCGGCCGGGAACUCAAAGGAGACUGCCAGUGAUAAACUGGAGGAAGGUGGGGAUAACGUCAAGUCAUCAUGGCCCUUACGACCAGGGCUACACACGUGCUACAAUGGCGCAUACAAAGAGAAGCGACCUCGCGAGAGCAAGCGGACCUCAUAAAGUGCGUCGUAGUCCGGAUUGGAGUCUGCAACUCGACUCCAUGAAGUCGGAAUCGCUAGUAAUCGUGGAUCAGAAUGCCACGGUGAAUACGUUCCCGGGCCUUGUACACACCGCCCGUCACACCAUGGGAGUGGGUUGCAAAAGAAGUAGGUAGCUUAACCUUCGGGAGGGCGCUUACCACUUUGUGAUUCAUGACUGGGGUGAAGUCGUAACAAGGUAACCGUAGGGGAACCUGCGGCUGGAUCACCUCCUU
rnacentral:rRNA from 1 species